AGAGUUUGAUCAUGGCUCAGGAUUAACGUUGGUAGUAUGCCUAACACAUGCAAGUCGAGCGGGAGGUAGUAGCAAUAUUACUUCUAGCGGCGAACGGGUGAGUAAUGCUUAUCUUACUUACCAAUUAGUGGGGGAUAACCGUGGGAAACUAUGGCUAAUACCGCAUUUGUUACUUGGUAAUGAAAGGGAGUUGCAAGACU
rnacentral:rRNA from 1 species